rnacentral:rRNA from 1 species
AACGAACGCUGGCGGCAUGCCUAACACAUGCAAGUCGAACGAGACCUUCGGGUCUAGUGGCGCACGGGUGCGUAACGCGUGGGAACCUGCCCUUAGGUUCGGAAUAACUCCCCGAAAGGGGUGCUAAUACCGGAUAGUGUCUUCGGACCAAAGAUUUAUCGCCUUUGGAUGGGCCCGCGUUGGAUUAGCUAGUUGGUAGGGUAAAAGCCUACCAAGGCGACGAUCCAUAGCUGGUCUGAGAGGAUGAUCAGCCACACUGGGACUGAGACACGGCCCAGACUCCGACGCGAGGCAGCAGUGGGGAAUAUUGGACAAUGGGCGAAGGCCUGAUCCAGCAAUGCCGCGUGAGUGAGGAAGGCCUUAGGGUUGUAAAGCUCUUUUACCCGGGAUGAUAAUGACAGUACCGGGAGAAUAAGCUCCGGCUAACUACGUG